rnacentral:rRNA from 1 species
AGACCCGAAACCCGGUGAUCUAGCCAUGGGCAGGUUGAAGGUUGGGUAACACUAACUGGAGGACCGAACCGACUAAUGUUGAAAAAUUAGCGGAUGACCUGUGGCUGGGGGUGAAAGGCCAAUCAAACCGGGAGAUAGCUGGUUCUCCCCGAAAGCUAUUUAGGUAGCGCCUCGUGAAUUCAUCUCCGGGGGUAGAGCACUGUUUCGGCUAGGGGGCCAUCCCGGCUUACCAACCCGAUGCAAACUGCGAAUACCGGAGAAUGUUAUCACGGGAGACACACGGCGGGUGCUAACGUCCGUCGUGAAGAGGGAAACAACCCAGACCGCCAGCUAAGGUCCCAAAGUCAUGGUUAAGUGGGAAACGAUGUGGGAAGGCCCAGACAGCCAGGAUGUUGGCUUAGAAGCAGCCAUCAUUUAAAGAAAGCGUAAUAGCUCACUGGUCGAGUCGGCCUGCGCGGAAGAUGUAACGGGGCUAAACCAUGCACCGAAGCUGCGGCAGCGAACGUAUCACCCAAGACAACUUUACG